rnacentral:lncRNA from 1 species
AAGGAAGCAACAUAUAUCAUUUACAAAUGACUUAAAAAGCAUUAAAAAUUACAAUAAUUACCAAUUUAAAAUAUUUAAAAGCUAUAUAAUAAAAUAGGUUGACUCUCAGAAUUCUAUCAGGCUCACAUAUAUUGGGACAGAAAAAAUAACACAUAUCAUUUUAAAAUUACCAAAAAAGUAUUAUAAAUAAUAAUAAUUAACAACUUAAAAUAUCUGAAAGACAUUUUAAAAGGGUUAAUUUUGUAAUUUUAUCCAUAUCACAUAAAUUAGGAC